AGAGCUUAGAAUAACAUGUGGCUGGUAGCCAGAGCAAGGCAGUCUCCUAAAUCAGUUUGGUUGAUAGCUUUCCUGAGAGCGUGAGAGAAUUCAUGCAUGUCCUUGUGGGGCUUACAAAAGAAGAGCCAUUGCUUUUGACGAUGAAUAAUUGGUGUUCACCUCAACUUGCUUUCAAGGAAAGUUUGAGAGAUUGCUUUGAAAGAUUGGCUAAAAUUUAACAUGGGCACUAAGACGUUUUAAAUUGGAUUCAUGAUUCUGUCUUCACUGCACUCUGGAACUCUUCAAUGGGUGUUACCUGCUUCUAAUAACUUCAGUUGUCAUCCUGCUCUUUCCUUUCUGACUCACCCACAAUACUAACAAAGUUAGAGGUCUCAAACAUCAUGGAAGUGGUUAUUUUUGGUUCAGCACAUUAAUGUAUAAGAUUUUGUUUUGAUGAUGGUCGUAUCUGUUUGUAAUUUUCCCUUGGCCCUAGUGUGGUGGGGCACAUGGCAUAGCCCCUGGUCAGCAUGGGGCAUGAGAAUGGCAGCCCAUUUGCCUACCAGGUAUUCUCCCAUGGCAGUUAUUCAACCUCUUCAGAGGCUCCUUUUCCACAGUAGAAAGGAUAUUCAAAUCCUUACUAACUGUUCAGUGUUGGUGAGGGGAUCUGUACGUCACAGCCCCUGCAGCAUGCAAGAGUCUCUCGGGCAAACCUAAGAACUCAGUUAAUAUUCACAGUUAUUUUAGUACAUCUUGGAUGCUGGAAUUUCCAUUAGGUGUCCCAGAAGAAUCAAAUUGGGUAGACUUUAUUCACCCAAUUUUUCCUUCAGGAAAAUCUAGAACAAGCUCCCAGAAAGUUGAAUCAACUCAAGAGGAAUGCGUGAAUCAAAAAUGUUUAUAACAAUCCAGAUAAUGGAAGGAUAAGACAGAGAUUCAGAGACAGAAAAAUCAAGUCUGAAUUUAAGAAUCUCCACACUUUUCUGCACAGUGAGAGGGAUUCUUAUCUGUGGAGGCUGGAGAAAGAAGAGCAGAUGCUGAUGAGCCUGAGGGAGAAUGAGGCCAACUUGGAGUGGAAGAACCAUGAACUCAAGAGCCACCUCCUGGAACUAGAGGCAAAAUGUCAGAGCUCAGCCCAGAAACUGGCGCAGGACUUGUGCUGUGAAGCUGGAAGCACCUGAGGCCUUUUCCUUGGAGGUUCAGACUGUGUUUGGUGCUGCUGAACUUUACAGGAAUAUGAAGAUGAAGUUAAUGGGUUAUCAAGGUAUGAGAUCCAGGGAUUCUCUCAGUGCUGUGAUGGGAAGGACUUCAAGCAACCUCAGGGAUCGUGUGGGUAUUUUCAGCAGGGCUGCCUUACUUUCCCCAUUUAGCAUGAUCUUGCUGAAUUUGUUUUGCAUCCUGGGCAUAUGAGGAAACCUUUAGUUUCUGCUCUGCUCUGUCACCUCAGGCAGCUCCUGUCACUGUUUCCCCUUUGGAGAAAGAAGUGUAUUCACAGUUCCCAAUAUACUGAGUUGUCCUGAACACUAACUGCAAUCACACAUGAAAACUGUUCUCAUGGUGCUUGGCACCGGAUGGAGUUAGGUGGAGUAGGAUGGAUUUUCUUUGGCGCAGGUGACUGUCAUGCUUCUUGUGACUGUUUCAAAUUCUGACAGGAGUCCAGAAAGUUAGAUGAGUAUUACAGACCAUGUUUUCAACAGUUUUAGGCACUUGCCUUAGACAACACAGGUAAAUAUGAUAACCUUGACAAAAAUUAUGUUUCACUAUGCCAAUGGCUUGUCUUCCUGUUCCAUUUUUCAGUGCUUGGUUUAUUUCUAUAACUUUUUCCCAUAACUACAAAAUGCAAAAUCUGUGAAAACGGAGUUUUAUUUUGAUUAUUUUUCCUGCAUGAGACCUGAACUUGAACUGUUUUGCUGGCUGUAGUACUCAUUUAUUGUUACCAACAAAAUAGCAAAAUUCAGUGUCUUAAAACAAUUCAAA